rnacentral:lncRNA from 1 species
GAUUUUUUUUUUUUUCUUCUUUUUUCGAUGAUUCUCUUCUUUUUUUUUUCCGUUCACGUUGGACCGAAGGCUGCAGUGGUCGUGGCUUCGAAUUGCGCUUGCUCGGAGGAGGCGGAAACGAGCUACCCGCGAAGCAGUGGAUUUUGCUCGACAGUAAAAUGAGUCGCAAGUAAGAUACCAACCCGAGAUUUGAAUUCAUUUAAUCUCCUGUCUACCUUCGCUAUACACAGACAAAAAAAAAUCACAUUUUUAAACUUUUCCGAAACUUUUUGAGCUCGGUACCCGAGUCAUGGCCCACCCCACAAUUUUAGAGAAUUUCAGGGGGUUGGGGGGUGGGCGUUGACUCGGGAUAUUGCGGUACCUAAUUACUUCAAGAUUCAACCCAACUUUUUUCAGCUUUGUGCCACGUCCUUUGAGUUCUGCAUUUGUGUAAAGAGUGUUUUCACUUUUGGUUCGUGGGGGCAGCGAAACACUAUAUAAACACAAACUUCUGUGGAAUAAAAAUCAGCUGUAUUUGAGACGGUGUUGUGUUGUCCUUCGUCUUUUCCCCAGUCUGGGGGUGUUGUCUUAAAUUAUGUUAAACCUUCCCCAGCUCGUUCGCACCCUAACUUUUUAUUUGUUUACUUCAUUGUAUUUCUACCUACUCAUUAUAUCUGUCUACACUGCUUACAGUUGACUUUUGCUGGAUUUAGACAGUGCUUCACUGGUAUAUUUUGGUGAUAUUGGGAGCUCAUUAAUAUUGGCCCUUGCCUGGUGCACAACAAAGCCAUUGUCAGGUAGCGUGUCAGGCACAUUAGUUUUUUUUCUUCGAAGAUUUGAUCUUUAUGGGCAAUAAAACAUUGAUUUUAAGUGAAAAAAAGAGUGUCAAAGCCUAAACACAAGAUUUUCGUACGUAAACUGUCACCCUCCAUGGGUGACAGUUUACGUACGUACGUGUUUUCCUGUGCUAUCAGGGGGUCCAACUGUAUGGAGAUGGAAGGCUGUGGAAGCUGGUGAGGAUGUGCAGCAUUGUGUCUUUCACGUGAAAAGAACAAUUUGAAUGUGCACUGGCUUAAUAAACAAGACUGGAAAAAGGGCAAUGCAGUUAAGCAAAAGUACAAAAUGUUCACUAAGUAUGUGGAGUGAAAUAGCUAUGCACCUACACAGAACUCGGGGAAAUUAGACUGUUUUCUGGUUACCAUAAAUUGUUCUCAGUCGUUGCACAUUUUUUCAAAAAUAAAGUUUGCUUAUGUCUACUAACUGGGUCACAGUUCAUUCAUGAUGCAGCUGCAUUUGCGUAGACUUCCUCUGUCACACAGGCACGUAGGCCUUUGGGCAUUUGAAAAUAAUUUUGGAACGAAGGGUUCUGAAGAAUCGGCGAGCGAGUGCGUGCUGAGCGGCGCGCGCGAGUCGGUAUCGCGAGCUGUUUCGCCGCUCGCCUAAAGGCGGUAGACGUAAAUGCUAUCUGGAAUGCCAGUGAGACAGGGAUCUAAUAUUUUUAUGCUAUUUUUUUUAUAACUAGGAGGUAAAGUCCGAAACACUUACGCCGCUGUUUCGCCGACCCCUCUUACGAUCGCAUUCUGUCGUGUGGACGCAUGAGGAGGUUCGCCGAUGGAAUCGCCUCUGCCGAUAAUUUCUGGCACUUGUAACCUGUUUAUAAAAGAAAAAUAAACAAAUACGCUCAUGCUGUGUACGGAGACGUGUCGGUAUCGAUCUUGCCUAGUAUCUUAUACACGGGGUAGACGAAAUCCUCUUGGAAGUGCUUGCUGCACACAAGGGCAUACUUUGGCGCUGGCUUUCCCAUUCUUAAUCAGCCACGCUUUCUUCAAUCUCGUCGACUUCGGGUACAGGUGAAAGCUGAUACCUGGUUCUUUUCUGGCUUUGCAUUGUGGCACUGAACAGAAUGCCACCAUAGCAGAGACUGUGCGAGCGUGGACCAAACCGUAGACAGGUACGACUCGGGUCGCUGCGUUCCUUUGCCUACGUCACAAUACACUUCAUCCAAUCAGGGCGCAGCGACCGCAGCGCCGCUCGCGCUCGUUCACGGGGCUAAUACGCGAGGAGUGCUCAAGUUUCGCCGCUGACUGCAGCGCUAUCCCAGGCCCUAGUGAGACGCUUUGGUACUAUCAGAUCGCGUGGUUUGGCACGUCUGACGGCUUUUUGCUACGCGUUUCGCUGCCAUCUUCGUCGCUUCACGAGUUAUUUACGUAGGAGGAAUGGAGAAAAAGAAACGUAAGCCUGACACACGAUACUGUUGCGUAGUUGGUUGUAGCAACAAUCUCGGGGAACGGACUAGCAAGUCUCUGCACCUCUACAGUUUCCCUGGCAAAGUGUACGAGACCCAAUGACGGCAAGCUUGGAUCACGGUAGUGCGCCGACAGAAGUAAGUACUUUAUUAGUAGUGCAUGGAUUUCGCUUAAUGCGCCGAUAAUGAAAUGGGACGGAAUUACCGCUUUUUUUUUUUCGGACUAUAGGCCGCGGACUAUUCAUGUUUAAAAGUUGAAAUUUUACCCGGUGCGGACUAUCUAAAGGUGGAUCGUUCCCUGUGGCAAGACACGAAGGAUAUAUUAAUAGUGAUUUGUGUAUGAUACAAGCUUCUUUGUGAGCUAAUACAGCAGGCAUUUUUUAAGGUGUGCUGUGUAUGAUAAUUUUCUCGUUCGGAUUAGACACUAAGUGCGGAAUAUGUGCCGCGUGCGGACUAUCUGAGCAAAAACUUUUAUUUUUGACCCCAAAUUCUCUUUUGCGGACUAUAGUCCGGAAAAUACGGUAGUAUGACGGUCAGCAUAAAAAAUGUGGAUAUGCCAAGUGUGGUAAAGCACUGUGGCAAUGCCGGCGUCAUGAGAGUUUGCGAUUUACGUGCUCGUAUCAUAGCAUUUAUACAGUGACGCUAUGCUACUCUGGUAAACAUAUUUCGCCUAAGAUAUUUAAAAAUGUGAUGUCGACUUGGAAGCUAAUAAAGGUCGGCCUGAUUUUCGGCUGGUCAGGCCAGAGCUUGGUCUCAGGUUAUUUUAUUUUCCAACGAGGAUGGCUCCAAGUGGUUGUCGUCCCCGGCGACGAGAAUUUGCAGUGUCCAUUUUGUGGACAGCUGUAAGAACGACAUUGAGGCACACCCUCGUACAUCCCCACCAUCUUCCCGCCUGUCUACAAGAAAAAGGCGCCCAAUGUAGAGAGGGCAAAGAGGAUGCUGAAACGAUCCAGCCGCUGCCAACCCAUGCCACCUCUAGUGGGGACGCCUCCUGACCCUCACACGGUUUCUGAGCCAGAGGCUACAUCAGAGGCCGAGAGUUCCAACUGGGGUUCCUUUGCGACGCUCGUCCACACGGCAGCCUAAGCCAUGCCUACGAAGUGCACGUCUGCAAUGGCGACGCAGACUGAUGACGAGGGACUGGAUGGUGGGCCACUUUGGCUCCUGCUGUCUGCCACAGAUGGACACAACGGAUCAACGCAGGUCACUCACACAGAGCAGCACGGCCUCAAGCACGGCCCCAAGCACGGCCCCAAGCACGGCCCCAAGCACGGCCCCAAGCACGGCC